AACGAACGCUGGCGGCAGGCCUAACACAUGCAAGUCGAGCGAGGACUUCGGUUCUAGCGGCGGACGGGUGAGUAACGCGUGGGAAUGUGCCCUUCUCUACGGAAUAGCCCUGGGAAACUGGGAGUAAUACCGUAUACGCCCUUUUGGGGAAAGAUUUAUCGGAGAAGGAUCAGCCCGCGUUGGAUUAGGUAGUUGGUGGGGUAAUGGCCUACCAAGCCGAUGAUCCAUAGCUGGUUUGAGAGGAUGAUCAGCCACACUGGGACUGAGACACGGCCCAGACUCCUACGGGAGGCAGCAGUGGGGAAUCUUAGACAAUGGGGGCAACCCUGAUCUAGCCAUGCCGCGUGAGUGAUGAAGGCCUUAGGGUUGUAAAGCUCUUUCAGCUGGGAAGAUAAUGACGGUACCAGCAGAAGAAGCCCCGGCUAACUCCGUG
rnacentral:rRNA from 1 species